CUUAUACUCCCUCCGUCCGAAAAUACUUGUCAUUCAAAUGGAUGUAUCUAGAUGUAUUUUAGUUCUAGACACAUCCAUUUUGAUGACAAGUAAUUCCGGACGGCGGGAGUACUUG
rnacentral:pre_miRNA from 1 species